rnacentral:rRNA from 1 species
AGCGAACGUUAGCGGCGCGCCUAACACAUGCAAGUCGCACGAGAAAGGGAGCAAUCCCCGGUACAGUGGCGCACGGGUGAGUAACACGUAGAUGACCUUCCCUGGAGUGGUGGAUAACCUGCCGAAAGGCGGGCUAAUACGGCAUGGGACCACAUGGUUUUGACCGAGUGGUGAAAGCGGGCCUCUGUUCACAAGCUCGCGCUCUGGGAUGGGUCUGCGUCCCAUCAGCUAGUUGGUGAGGUAAUGGCUCACCAAGGCAUCGACGGGUAGCUGGUCUGAGAGGAUGACCAGCCACACUGGAACUGAGACACGGUCCAGACUCCUACGGGAGGCAGCAGUGGGGAAUCUUGCGCAAUGGGCGAAAGCCUGACGCAGCGACGCCGCGUGGGUGAUGAAGGCCUUCGGGUCGUAAGACGACUUUCUAAGUAGAUGAGAAAGG